UGGGGAAUCUUGGACAAUGGGCGCAAGCCUGAUCCAGCGACGCCGCGUGGGUGACGAAGGCCCUCGGGUUGUAAAGCCCUUUUGCCGGGGACGAUGAUGACGGUACCCGGCGAAUAAGCACCGGCUAACUCCGUGCCAGCAGCCGCGGUAAGACGGAGGGUGCUAGCGUUGUUCGGAAUUACUGGGCGUAAAGGGCGCGUAGGCGGCCCUGGAAGUCGGGUGUGAAAGCCCGGGGCUCAACCCCGGAACGGCACCCGAUACUCCUGGGCUCGAGACCGGAAGAGGUGAGUGGAAUACCCAGUGUAGAGGUGAAAUUCGUAGAUAUUGGGUGGAACACCGGUGGCGAAGGCGGCUCACUGGUCCGGUUCUGACGCUGAGGCGCGAAAGCGUGGGGAGCAAACAG
rnacentral:rRNA from 1 species